UACGGAGGGUGCAAACGUUGCUCGGAAUCAUUGAGCGUAAAGCGCACGUAGGCGGUCUGUUAAGUCGGAUGUGAAAGCCCCGGGCUCAACCCGGGAAGUGCAUACGAAACUGGCGGACUUGAAUAUGGAAGAGGGUCGCGGAAUUCCCGGUGUAGAGGUGAAAUUCGUAGAUAUCGGGAGGAACACCAGUGGCGAAGGCGGCGACCUGGGCCAAUAUUGACGCUAAUGUGCGAAAGCGUGGGGAGCGAACAGG
rnacentral:rRNA from 1 species